rnacentral:rRNA from 1 species
UACAGAGGAUGCAAGCGUUAUCCGGAAUGAUUGGGCGUAAAGCGUCUGUAGGUGGCUUUUAAGUCCGCCGUCAAAUCCCAGGGCUCAACUCUGGACAGGCGGUGGAAACUACCAAGCUUGAGUACGGUAGGGGCAGAGGGAAUUUCCGGUGGAGCGGUGAAAUGCGUAGAGAUCCGGAAGAACACCGGUGGCGAAGGCGGCCCGCUGGGCUGUUGCUGACGCUGAGGCGCGCAGCGUGGGGAGCA